GACGAACGCUGGCGGCGUGCUUAACACAUGCAAGUCGAACGAUGAACCCGGAGCUUGCUCCGGUGGAUUAGUGGCGAACGGGUGAGUAACACGUGAGUAACCUGCCCUUGACUCUGGGAUAACUGCGGGAAACUGUAGCUAAUACCGGAUACGACCCUCGGCGGCAUCGCCAGGGGGUGGAAAGAAUUUCGGUCAAGGAUGGACUCGCGGCCUAUCAGCUAGUUGGUGAGGUAACGGCUCACCAAGGCGACGACGGGUAGCCGGCCGGAGAGGGUGAACGAGCAAACGGGGACUGGGACACGGCCCAGACUCCUGCGGGGGGAAGCAGUGGGGAAUAUUGCACAAUGGGCGCAAGCCUGAUGCAGCAACGCCGCGUGGGGGAUGACGGCCUUCGGGUUGUAAACCUCUUUCAGCACCGACGAAGCGCAAGUGACGGUAGGUGCAGAAGAAGGACCGGCCAACUACGUGCCAGCAGCCGCCGUAA
rnacentral:rRNA from 1 species